GUGGUUGUGGCUCAGUAGUAGAGCACUUGUUUAGAAUGUGUGAGGCACUGGGUUCGAUUCUCAGCACAUAUA
rnacentral:tRNA from 1 species